ensembl:lncRNA
CAACAAGCUCUAACAAGCUGUGUCACCUGGAAGCUGAAGUGAAGCACGGAGCUCCUUUUCUACACGGACCUGCUGAGGACAGAAGAGAGCUGCUCACUGAGGAACUUCAUGUCUACAAGAUCAGACAUUUUACCCAGUAAAAACAGCUCAGACUCAGUCGACCAGUCAGCCUGCAUACUUUGCUGGUGACGUGAGGACACACCCUCUGUGAUGAAGAACAACAAGCUCUAACAAGCUGCGUCACCUGGAAGGUGAAGUGAAGCACGGAGCUCCUUUUCUACACGGACCUGCUGAGGACAGAAGAGAGCUGCUCACUGAGGAACUUCAUGUCUACAAGAUCACUUGUAGUCGACCUUUUACUAACUGAUCACAUGGUGAAGUGAACCGUCCAUCAGGAGAGAGCUUUCCCGUGUUUCCAUGGUAACCAGUGUGUCACCUUACUGGUCUGUUUCACUGACUUCUGGACUCUGAAGGACAUCAAGAGGAGAAACAGCACAGCGCCAUCUGCUGGAAGACGAGUGAUCAUGUUCACCUGGUAAAACACGACAUUUACAGGAUGAGCGUUUAUAAUGACGUCUCUUGUUAAGAGGGUUUAAAGAAGGAAAAGGACGUUCCUCUUUCUCCAGAAGUCUAAACUAUUUUGUGGUCAGACGUGACACGAAGCAUCGCAGAGCGUAAAC